GCCCACAUAGAUCAGCUGGUAGAUCGUCUUCCACAAUUUUCAGUGAAGUCCGCAUAUGAAGGAGGCGGAGGUUCGAACCCUCCUGUGGGCA